rnacentral:rRNA from 1 species
UACGAAGGGGGCUAGCGUUGUUCGGAAUUACUGGGCGUAAAGCGCACGUAGGCGGAUUGUUAAGUCGGGGGUGAAAUCCUGAGGCUCAACCUCAGAACUGCCUUCGAUACUGGCGAUCUUGAGUUCGGAAGAGGUUGGUGGAACAGCUAGUGUAGAGGUGAAAUUCGUAGAUAUUAGCUAGAACACCAGUGGCGAAGGCGGCCAACUGGUCCGAUACUGACGCUGAGGUGCGAAAGCGUGGGGAGCAAACAGG